rfam:Oryzias latipes DNA, chromosome23, strain: Hd-rR.
GAUGACAGGCUUGUGGCGGCCAAGCAUUCAUAGCGACGUCGCUUUUUGAUCCUUUGAUGUCGGCUCUUCCCAUCAUUGUGAAGCAGAAUUCACCAAGCGUUGGAUUGUUCACCCAUCAAUAGGGAACGUGAGCUGGGAUUAGACCGUCAUGAGACAGUUU